AGAGUGCGAAGAUGUUUGCUAAGAAGACUCCGGCUCAAUCAGCUAAGAGCACAGCUCACAAAGUUGUGGAACAGGUUGCCAAUGCAGCUCACACUGUAUCCAAUGCUUCCCACCCGAAAAACAAAGGUCACCAGACUCACCACCAUCAACAGACUGGAACAACAACCGCUAUGCACACGGCAAAAGAUGCAGUGAAGACUGUGAAGAAAGUAGUGGGAAUGAAGUGAUUGUUAAUAAACAAUCGAUCCAUUUCCACCUACCAAUAAGAAAAUAAAAAUACAAUACAUAUGUUGUACUUUUGUGUGGGUAUAUCUUUCUUUCAUCACUCCAUGAAUUUGUGUUGAUUUUGCGAAUUAUUUUCAUUUUAAUUAUGUCUUUUUAGGUGUUUUCUUGUUAUAUAUCUUUCCCAUGGUAUCUUAUGUGAUUGUAAUAAACGAUUAGCUAUGCAUAAUGAAAUAUGUUUAAUUAGAUCA